GAAAUGCGAUAAUUAAUGUGAAUUGCAGAAUUCAGUGAAUCAUCGAGUCCUUGAACGCACAUUGCGCCCCCUGGUAUUCCGGGGGGCAUGCCUGUCCGAGCGUCAUUGCUGCCCUCAAGCACGGCUUGUGUGUUGGGCUUCCGUCCCUGGCAACGGGGACGGGCCAAAAAGGCAGUGGCGGCACCAUGUCUGGUCCUCGAGCGUAUGGGGCUUUGUCACCCGCUCCCGUAGGUCCAGCUGGCAGCUAGCCUCGCAACCAAUCUUUUUAACCAGGUUGACCUCGGAUCAGGUAGGGAUACCCGCUGAACUUAAGC
rnacentral:misc_RNA from 1 species